rnacentral:misc_RNA from 1 species
UCAACCAGUCUUCUGCCUCCCUACGGAGAAGUGUUCACUUCAUGUAGUUAAGACAUGCAAUGACAAUAAGCCAACAAGGUCAUAACAAAUACAAAUUUGAUAUGAUCUCUCUGCAAAGUUUUAUUAUGAAUGGCACUAAAGUAGGGAACUCACCCAAAUCCAGAGGAAGUGAGCUGAAUUUAUCAUAAAACAACACUGAGAAUUUCUAGAAUUAACUGAGAAUUUCUAGAAUUAAGUUUUACAUGGCAAUCAAAAAUGAGAAAAAGAAAGAUAUAGUUACUCUUUCUGCUUUUUCAAGAGCAAAGGUCCAACAUUGUCACCAGUAGCUUUGUUGUGCUUUACGUGGCUUCCAUCACAUAGAGGGAAAGUUCCUGACCUCCAACAUCUGCAAUAAGCUGUGAGGGGCUUAGAAAGCUCAGCGACCACGACGGAAUCCACCACCUUCUCCUCGUUCUUUCUAAUUUCUGGGUUGAUUGAUUGAGCUUCAGCUCUCACCGCCACCAUGCGCCUUGACCUGGCAGCUGAAUGAGUGUUUGGCUUGAGUUCCCCGACUCUCGAUUUGCUGAAACAGAACCCAGCACCUAACGCACUUGCAAUUGUGGCCAUUGAAAUGGGUAAUUAGGUCUCUCUAUCUUAGUCUUUCCCGAAUUGUGUAGCUGAUCCAAUUCCUAAGAAUUGAAGGAAGGAGGUGGGUGAAGAUGAAAGUUUAUCAGGAUUGAAAAGUGGGCGUUGAACUUGUGGAGAGCACGCU